GACGAACGCUGGCGGCGUGCUUAACACAUGCAAGUCGAACGGGAAGGCCCUGCUUUUGUGGGGUGCGGGCGUGGGGGACGGGUGGGUAAACAGUGGAUAAACCGCCCUUGCAUUUGGGAUAACCUCAGGGAAAUGGGGCUAAUAACGGGUAGGAGCUCCUGCUGCAUGGUGGGGGUUGGGGAGUUUUGGCGGUUGGGGAUGGGUUCUGGGGUGAUGAGCUUGUGGGUGGGGUGGUGGUUGGCGAAGGCGUUGCCGGGUAGCCGGUCGGAGAGGGUGACCGGCCACAUUGGGACUGAGAUACGGGCCAGACGCCUACGGGAGGCAGCAGUGGGGAAGAUUGUACAAUGGGCGGAAGCCGGAUGCAGUAACGCCGCGUGCGGGAUGACGGCCUUCGGGUGGUAAACCGCGUCCGCCUGUGACGAAGCGGGAGUGACGGUAAUGGGUAAAGAAGCACCGGCUAACUACGUG
rnacentral:rRNA from 1 species